AACGAACGCUGGCGGCAGGCCUAACACAUGCAAGUCGAGCGCCCUCGCGAGGGGGAGCGGCGGACGGGUGAGUAACGCGUGGGAACGUGCCUCUUGCUUCGGAAUAGCCUCGGGAAACUGGGGGUAAUACCGAAUGUGCCCUACGGGGGAAAGAUUUAUCGGCAAGAGAUCGGCCCGCGUUGGAUUAGGUAGUUGGUGGGGUAAUGGCCUACCAAGCCGACGAUCCAUAGCUGGUUUGAGAGGAUGAUCAGCCACACUGGGACUGAGACACGGCCCAGACUCCUACGGGAGGCAGCAGUGGGGAAUCUUAGACAAUGGGCGCAAGCCUGAUCUAGCCAUGCCGCGUGAGCGAUGAAGGCCUUAGGGUUGUAAAGCUCUUUCGUGGGGGAAGAUAAUGACUGUACCCCAAGAAGAAGCCCCGGCUAACUCCGUGCCAGCAGCAGCCGCUG
rnacentral:rRNA from 1 species